UGUGAUCUUUGCACUUUGUCCUUUAAGCCUUCUCCAAAGCAUAACUCUGUCUUUCGGUUAUCACUUCCAGAUCAAUAAAUGUCCACAGGACAAAAGCAGUGCCAACUGUGGGGCUCACCUUCCUGGAUUCCUGUCUUCUUCCUAGAUCUUGGUCCGAGUCCCUCUGUCAGUUCUGAGACACCUGAAGCUAGGAGUGGAGUGAAACCAGCACCCCUGAGGACACCACCACUAUGACUGUGCUCAGCCAGACUUGAAGCCAGCACAACACUGGGUCUUCCCUGCUGUAACCACUCCCUGGCCACUGCCUAUGUUUGCUCAAGGCCUUGGGGCUCUACAAUAAACAGGUGGAAAAGCCAUCCAGGUCUGUGCCCUUCCCUUCAGGGUGGCAAGUUCCCCCAAGCCCCAGGUGGGUCCAGAGAUGUUGUCUAGGAGUCAGG
rnacentral:lncRNA from 10 species